GACAGCAGUCGCCGCGGGAAUACGGAGGGGGCUAGCGUUGUUCGGAAUUACUGGGCGUAAAGCGCACGUAGGCUGCUUUGCAAGUUAGAGGUGAAAGCCUGGUGCUCAACACCAGAACUGCCUUUAAGACUGCAGAGCUAGAACGUCGGAGAGGUGAGUGGAAUUCCGAGUGUAGAGGUGAAAUUCGUAGAUAUUCGGAAGAACACCAGUGGCGAAGGCGGCUCACUGGACGACUGUUGACGCUGAGGUGCGAAAGCGUGGGGAGCAAACAGGAUUAGAUACCCCCGUAGUCCCUGUCUCUUAUAC
rnacentral:rRNA from 1 species